rnacentral:rRNA from 1 species
CUACGGGAGGCUCCAGUGAGGAAUAUUGCACAAUGGGGGAAACCCUGAUGCAGCAACGCCGCGUGGAGGAUGACGCAUUUCGGUGUGUAAACUCCUUUUAUGAGUCAAGAAAAUGACGGUAGCUCAUGAAUAAGCACCGGCUAACUCCGUGCCAGCAGCGGUAAUACGGAGGGUGCAAGCGUUACUCGGAAUCACUGGGCGUAAAGGACGCGUAGGCGGGCUUUCAAGUCAGGUGUGAAAUCCUACAGCUUAACCGUAGAACUGCACUUGAAACUGGGAGCCUAGAGUAUGGGAGGGGGAGAUGGAAUUAGUGGUGUAGGGGUAAAAUCCGUAGAUAUCACUAGGAAUACCGAAAGCGAAGGCGAUCUCCUGGAACAUUACUGACGCUAAGGCGUGAAAGCGUGGGGAGCAAACAGGAUUAGAUACCCUCGUAGUC